GAGGGCUGUGUGGUGGAGGUUAGGUUUGCAGAGGGCUGUGUGGUGGAGGUUAGGUUAGGUUUGCAGAAGGCUGUGUGGUGGAGGUUAGGUUUACAGAGGGCUGUGUGGUGGAGGUUAGGUUAGGUUUGCAGAGGGCUGUGUGGUGGAGGUUAGGUUUGCAGAGGGCUGUGUGGUGGAGGUUAGGUUAGGUUUGCAGAGGGCUGUGUGGUGGAGGUUAGGUUUGCAGAGGGCUGUGUGGUGGAGGUUAGGUUAGGUUUGCAGAGGGCUGUGUGGUGGAGGUUAGGUUAGGUUUGCAGAGGGCUGUGUGGUGGAGGUUAGGUUAGGUUUACAGAAGGCUGUGUGGUGGAGGUUAGGUUAGGUUUGCAGAGGGCUGUGUGGUGGAGGUUAGGUUUGGUUUGCAGAGGGCUGUGUGGUGGAGGUUAGGUUAGGUUUACAGAAGGCUGUGUGGUGGAGGUUAGGUUAGGUUUGCAGAGGGCUGUGUGGUGGAGGUGGGGCCUUCUCCCUGUCCCAGGGUGGUCCCACACAGUCCCCCAAACACACACGCGUGGGUCCAGUGACCUCAGCAGGGAGGCAGCUCCCUGAUUACAAGGCCGACUUUUGUUCUUGGACCAGAGCCGAUUUUGCUUUCUCUGUAGGAUAAUUGCACAAAAGGUCACCAGAGUCAUUCUGAAAGCAGCAGGAGUUCUGAGGCUUCUGUUUGCUCCAAUUUACUUAACAAAGGGCAUUCAGGUGGAUUUGUUUGGGCUGUGCUUUAUGAUUCUCUGAAAAUUAAAAACCCUUCCGGUGAUGUAACUGUGUGGCAGAGUUAAAGAUUUGAACCCCAAGUUCAUCUCUGAUUCGUUUCGAUUCUGUAAUUAUUCAUCCUUCUUGACUUUGUUAGUUUUACUUUGCAUUAUCAAAAUGCAUAAAGUGGAGACUGGACGGUGGAAAUCCCUGCAGGGCACCGAGGCACCUAACGUCACAACUGCAGUCCGAAUCGGUCCAAGCAGAGGCCACUUAGGAAAACAGCCGUGCAUGGGACGCUGAUGCCACAUGGCCUGGCACUUCGUCUUCCAUGAUUCGCCUGUUUCAUGAGUGGGAUCCCAAGCCCACAACCACAGCCGGAGCGCUGUCCUCACUGACAGCAGAUGGUCACUGGGGAGAAUGCCACUGAGGCACUGUUCAUCUCUAGGAAAUUAGAUUCUUAACAUCACCUCUCCAUGGCAUGAGAACUGAGCCCCCACCUCCUACAUUUGGGCUCAGUGUUUCUCAAAUAAGACAGACAUCAGCCAUGAAAGGAAUCAGAAUGAGGCAGUAAAUUCAGAAAGAGUCCUUGAAGCCCAGCCGUGGGUGAAGGGCCCGGGAUGCGCUGUCUCAUAGCCAUGAGCCACCUCCCGGGAGACAAACCAGGUCUCUGUGCCUUUUCUUCUCACUCUGUGAGCUCCCGUGCACCACAGUCCCUCACAGAGCAUCAGCCACAGGGCCUGUGGAGAGAGGAGCUUCUUUGAAAAGCACCCCACCGCGUGGCCUCUGUGCCCGCCUGCUGGCAGCAAUGAAUCAGCCUGGAAGCUGGGCCGACCUGCGCUUCAGAACUCAGAGCUCCGACGGUGCUGGAGGCCUUGCUGGUACAAUUGAGGCGCUUUCAGAGGAAGACGCUCCCUUUCAGAAGCUGCUCUCCUCCUGCUGAGGAAGGGGGAGCCAGGUGGCGGUGGGCAGCCGGGUGGCGGGGACACGCCAACUCCCAAGGCUGCUGAGACCCUCACUUUGAGCCUGGUGGGAUGUGUGGUCGGUGGAUGGUGGGGACGUGCUGGCUCCCAGGGUUGACAGGACCCUCACUCUGAGCCCGGUGGGAUGUGUGGUCGGUGGAUGGUGGGGACACGCUGGCUCCCAGGGUUGACAGGACCCUCACUCUGAGCCCGGUGGGAUGUGUGGUCAGCAGGUGGAGUUGUUCUUGUUACUGCAAGCAUAUUUGGCCGUGAAAGCGAAAUGUGCAAGGGUAGGAAAUGGCCUCAGAGCGGGGCCCAAAUCGAAGGAUUCGUCGUGGCCCCUUGUGCAGACAUGGUUCUGAAGGAAUGGGAACUGAUUUGUAAUCAUACCAUGCAAUUAACCAAGUGCACCAAGGGGCCACAGGCUCCCACAGAACCACAGUGUCAGCUACUGUGCGUGGUCCCUGGCUGCUUCAAUUAGAAUAGGGCAGUGAGGCGGCUGCCACUUCUGUGCGGAGCUUCCAGACAGGCGUGUGCGUCCCAGCGAGAGGAAGUCCCCGGGGCCCAGCCCCACAGCAUCUGUCCCUGCCUGGCGCCUCCAGGUCAGUGGUGUGCAGCUGUAGGGUUAGGGCAGCAGAGGUGUUUGGGGCCAGCCAGGAGGGGGCUGCUUAAUGCACAGGUCUUCAUAUCCCAGGAAAGGUGAAGCUGGGAGGCAGAGGGUAACACCCCAGCCUGUCAGAACGCAGUGUGCCCCGAGGGCCUGCGGGGAGGGCCCUGCCGGGAUGGGGGUCGGUGGAUCUGAGUCCAGUUCCCUCCUGUCUCCUCCCAAGAUAAUAUAAUAUUGCCAGCUCGGGUAUUCUUGGUCCAGCACAGCUUCUUAAUCUUUUUCACCUUUGUGAUGUAAGACUCAAGCUCCAUGCAGAACCCAAACAUAGGCAUGGAAGUGUGCCCAGGUGGAGGCCUGGAGCCUGCAUCUCCUCGGCCAAGCUGCACCUACCUUGUCUGUCUCAGGGAGGAGCCCCAAAUCAGCUGAUGGAGUUCAUGCACCCCUGUGCAGACGCAGCCUCCCCCAGGGCAGUGUCCCCCAGGGCCUUUGGCUGCCGUACACCCUCAGGCUUGGUCCCUCUUAGUAGCCGCUGAAUCAGAUAGCUGCCCCGAGACCUGACCUGCACGUUUCUUCAGAGAGGAGUUGCUGUGCUCCUGCUGAAGUGACCCGUCUCAAGAUAUCUGGAUGCAGGUGCACACCUGGCCUCACUUGUCCCUCAUAUGUAUGCCUGACUUUGCCUGUCAGUCCUGCGCACACCUGACCUCACCUGUCCAUCCCACACACACUCGACUUCAGCUGUCCGUCCUGCACACACCUGACCUCACCUGUCUUUCCUGCACACAAGUGGCCUCACCUGUCCACCCCACGUGCACCUGGCCUCACCUGUCUGUACUGUGCACACCUGGCCUCACCUGUCCCUGCCACACGCACCUGACUUCGCCUGUCUGUCCUGCGCACACCUGGCCUCACCUGUCCACCUGUCCACCCCGCGUGCACCUGGCCUCACCUGUCCACCUGUCCACCCCGCGUGCAUCUGGCCUCACCUGUCUGUCCUGCACACAUGGGUUGGGCGGGAACAGGCUCCAUCUUCCUCUAUGCUUUCAUCACCCUCAUUUUUGGAAAGUCACGUUUUGCUUUUAUUCUAAUUUCCAUUCUCGCUUUUUCACUCUUUUCUUACGUAGUUUCUGGCAUUUCCUUGAUUUCCCCAGGUUCUUUCAAAUCCUGAUUCUCUUCCCUGAGGAGUCUGCACCGUCCUCUUCAGGGCAGUGUGGUCGGCCGGUUCAACACUCACACUUCCCUGUCCUUUGGCCUCCAAGUUGUUAAAAAAUUCAAUCACUUCUAGCUCAGUGUUAGCCCUGUAGGAUCCACCAAAGCAUGUGUUCCCUUGGGCUGACAUUGGGCUAUGGAUAAAGCUUCUUUUUGAAUUAAAAUGAAAAAAUUCAAUUUCUUUCCCAAAAAGGUGUAGUUUCUAUAGCUACAAGACCAUGAAAUGCACACCUAAGUAAGGAGAUGAGGCCGGUUCUUCCCUGAGCCCCACUAGACUGUGGCACGUCGGUCUCGUGGGGACACCCGCUGCCAUCAGCCUGAGCCCUCCUGCCUUCGCACAUUUUAGCUCAUGUCCAUGCAGUACCGGCUCUGUGCCAGGCACAGGUCUGAGGGCCACAUCUUUGCUACGUCACCAGCUCCGUGCUAGGCACAGGCCUGAGAGCAUCCUUGCUAAGUCACCUUCUCUGUGCCAGGCAUAGGCCUAACAGCCACAUCUUUGCUAAGUCAUGCCCCUGGCACAGCUGCCCCACACAGCACGUAUGCCUGGCAUCCCUUAACUGAGAGGUGGAGAAACAGGCAGGGAGACUAAAUACCUGGCUGGGAUUCAGACCGAGGCAGCUUCUGGCCGCUGAGCCCUCUCCUCAUGGCGAAUUUCCUCUUCCCGCUUCCUUCACUCGUUCACUGAGCCACCAUGCGUGCUGCUGUGUACACUAACAUGUCAUAUUCAGUCUCUUCUUGUAAGAACGGUAACCCCCAUCAUCAUUUUUAACCAGGUCCCUGGAGGUCUUUGUCAUAUACA